rnacentral:rRNA from 1 species
UGGGGAAUCUUCCGCAAUGGACGAAAGUCUGACGGAGCAACGCCGCGUGAGUGAAGACGGCCUUCGGGUUGUAAAGCUCUGUGAUCCGGGACGAAAGAGCCUGAGGUAAAUAGCCUAAGGAAGUGACGGUACCGGAAAAGCAAGCCACGGCUAACUACGUGCCAGCAGCCGCGGUAAUUCGUAGGUGGCAAGCGUUGUCCGGAAUUAUUGGGCGUAAAGCGCGCGCAGGCGGCUUACUAAGUCCAUCUUAAAAGUGCGGGGCUUAACCCCGUGAUGGGAUGGAAACUGGAAAGCUGGAGUAUCGGAGAGGAAAGUGGAAUUCCUAGUGUAGCGGUGAAAUGCGUAGAGAUUAGGAAGAACACCGGUGGCGAAGGCGACUUUCUGGACGAAAACUGACGCUGAGGCGCGAAAGCGUGGGGAGCAAACAGG